rnacentral:misc_RNA from 1 species
GAUGAAGAACGUAGCGAAAUGCGAUAAGUAGUGUGAAUUGCAGAAUUCAGUGAAUCAUCGAAUCUUUGAACGCACAUUGCGCCCCUUGGUAUCCCGAGGGGCAUGCCUGUUCGAGCGUCAUUUCACCACUCAAGCCUGGCUUGGUGUUGGGCGACGUCCUCUUUGGGGACGCGCCUCGAAACGCUCGGCGGCGUGGCACCGCUUUAAGCGUAGCAGAAUCUUUCGCUUUGGAAGUCGGGGCCCCGUCUGCCGGAAGACCUGCUCGCAAGGUUGACCUCGGAUCAGGCAGGGAUACCCGCUGAACUUAAGCAUAUCAAUAAGCGGAGGA